CUCAUGCAUUGGGGAAGACUGUGCAGUGACACCCUCCACACCCCAGGCCUCUGGAGCCUUUGGAGCAGAAAGAUCCCAGGAGCUGAGGAUGAAUCCAGGAGUGAGUAGCUGGCAGGAAGGAGUCCUAGCAGCUCUUGUGGGAGCGCAGGUGAGGAAUGACUCCCCCUUCUCUAGAUUCUCCCCAUGGGGCUCUGGGGAGCAGGGAGGGUUGUGUGAUAAAUUCCAUCCAACAUCCCCCUUUGAUCCAAGCCAAGGGACGUCUCAGUUCUGCACGAUCCUCUCGGCAGCACCAAACACGGGAUGUUUUCCACUGCCCAGGAGACCCCAGCCAGGCACUAAAGGCAGCCCCAGACUUUCCCUCUCGCUGCAGAUAAAAUGGGUGGGGAACC